rnacentral:rRNA from 1 species
GAUGAACGCUGGCGGCGUGCCUAACACAUGCAAGUCGAGCGGCAGCGAGGGGUGCUUGCACCCUGUCGGCGAGCGGCGGACGGCGGAGGAACGCGUGGGAAGGUGCCCCAAAGUGAGGAAUAACUGCCCGAAAGGGUAGCUAAUACCGCAUAUUAUCUUCGGAUCAAAGGAUUUAUCCGCUUUGGGAGCGGCUCGCGUCGGAUUAGGUAGUUGGUGAGGUAAUGGCUCACCAAGCCGACGAUCCGUAGCUGGUCUGAGAGGAUGACCAGCCAGACUGGAACUGAGACACGGUCCAGACUCCUACGGGAAGCAGCAGUGAGGAAUCUUCCACAAUGGGCGAAAGCCUGAUGGAGCAACGCCGCGUGCAGGACGAAGGCCUUCGGGUUGUAAACUGCUUUUAUAAGUGAGGAAUAUGACGGUAACUGAUGAAUAAGGAUCGGCUAACUACGUG